UCCGAUAUCGAUCAUGUUAAGGAUGGGGAUAAGCGGAAGCUAAGCUUUAGUAGUUUGGUCAUGUUAAAGAAACCGAAACUCGAGCAAUUUGAUUCGAUUGUGCCGGCUGGAUUUCUUGCUCGUAUCCGCACCGUGCCGGAGAGUUCGCCGGGGCCCUUAGUUGUUGUAGUUAAUAAUAAUAAAGAAAGCAGUAAUCAAAUAGUUAAGGCUCCGUUUGUGCCUAGUUGCAAGUAGUUCUGGAAAGCAGGAGAUUAUGGGGAACGCAGAUUCUCCGAUUAUACCAAUUCUUCUGUUGGGAUGGAUCAUGUAAGGGUGCACCCAAAAUUUUUGCAUUCGAAUGCAACUAGCCAUAUGUGGGCAUUGGGAGCUUUCGCAGAUCUUUUGGAUAAUUCUUUAGAUGAGAUUUGCUCGCACGUGCGAAACCGUUAUCAAAACCCUAUAUAAACGAGAGAGAGACAAUGGCGCCGCUACUCAUCUACUCCUUCACAAGCACGAUCGCCUUCUUUUCAGAAUCCUGUCCUCGUCUUUUCUUAUCCCCUGAAAAUUUCUCUCCGUUUCUUGCUUUCCAAACAAGUCUCCCAUGGCCUCCCUCAAGCAACAAAAUCGUGAACAAUCCGAUAUCGAUCAUCAUGUUAAGGAUAGGGAUAAGCGGAAGCUAAGCUCUAGUAGUUUGGUCAUGUUAAAGAAACCGAAACUCGAGCAAUUUGAUUCGAUUGUGCCGGCUGGAUUUCUUGCUCGUAUCCGCACCGUGCCGGAGAGUUUGCCAGGGCCCUUAGUUGUUGUAGUUAAUAAUAAUAAAGAAAGCAGUAAUCAAAUAGUUAAGGCUCCGUUUGUACGCAGUUGCAAGUAGUUCUGGGAAGCAGGAGAAUAUGGGGAACGCAGAUUCUCCGAUUAUACCAAUUCUUCUGUUGGGAUGGAUCAUGUAAGGGUGCACCCAAAAUUUUUGCAUUCGAAUGCAACUAGCCAUAUGUUGGCAUUGGGAGCUUUCGCAGAGCUUUUGGAUAAUUCUUUGGAUGAGAUUUGCAAUGGAGCCACUUAUGUUAAUGUAGAUGUGUUGAAAAACCAGAGAGAUGGUAGCGUGAUGCUGCUAGUGGAAGUCAGCUCAUCUUGGUUGCAGACAAUGGUGGUGGAAUGUAUCCUGAUAAGAUGCGGUAGUGUAUGUCUCUUGGAUAUUCUGCUAAAAGCAAGAUGGCAAAUACUAUUGGUCAAUAUGGAAAUGGGUUUAAAACAAGUGUUAUGAGGCUUGGAGCUGAUGUUGUAGUGUUUUUACGUUGUCAUGAUGGAAAGAGCCAAACACAAAGUAUCGGAUUGCUCUCUUACACAUUUUUGACCACAACAGGAAAGGAAGAUAUUGUGGUUCCUAUGUUGGGAUGGAUCAUGUAAGGGUGCACCCAAAAUUUUUGCAUUCGAAUGCAACUAGCCAUAUGUGGGCAUUGGGAGCUUUCGCAGAGCUUUUGGAUAAUUCUUUAGAUGAGAUUUGCAAUGGAGCCACUUAUGUUAAUGUAGAUGUGUUGAAAAACCAGAGAGAUGGUAGCGUGAUGCUGCUAGUGGAAGACAAUGGUGGUGGAAUGAAUCCUAAUAAGAUGCGGUAGUGUAUGUCUCUUGGAUAUUCUGCUAAAAGCAAGAUGACAAAUACUAUUGGUCAAUAUGGAAAUGGGUUUAAAAUAAGUACUAUGAGGCUUGGAGCUGAUGUUGUAGUGUUUUUAUGUUGUAAUGAUGGGAAGAGCCAAACACAAAGUAUCGGAUUGCUCUCUUACACAUUUUUACCUCAACAGGAAAGGAAGAUAUUGUGGUUCUUAUGGUAAGAAUAGUUUAUAAGCAUGCGUCAUUAUAUUAUUCCAGCAUUUGCCAUGUCUCAAUGUUUUAUUUAUUUAUUUAAUGUCUGAAAUUAGAAGAUUGACUUUGAGAAUAUAGAAGAAGCUAAUUGGAACAAGAAAAUAAGAUCUCACUGAAUGAUUGGAAUACCAAUUUAGAAAUCAUAUUGCAGUGGACACCAUUUCUAACUGAAGAUCUUUUCCAGCAGGUAUAUUAAGGAAUUAUUUUACAUGUACACUUUUGUUUUGUUUAGUGAUAUUUCUUUUGUUCUCGAGUUUUAUUUUUCUUUUAAUGAAGCUUCUCUACAAUGGACGAAGAAAAUACAAUUUCAAAAAAAUCUCCCGCAAAAUGAGAGAGACUCUCCUUUUAGAGGUGAGUUUCUGCCAUGCAUAGCUAUUGCCCAACGAACCAUGCUUGGCUUGGAUAAUUUCCUUAGUCUUUCUAUAAAUGUUUAAAUUACAAUACCAUAAAAAGAAGCCCUCGCAAAUCAAAUCACAAUCUCCUAAAAAUAUUAUUUGUCUUGUAGUCUAAUUUGGUAAAUUACCUUUUACCAAAAUUGCAAAAGAAGCCUCCCAAAUCUAAUCACAAUCUCUAAAAAAUGUUCUUUGUCUUGUAGUCUAAUUUGGUUAAUUAGCUUUUACCAAAAGUGUAAAAGAAGUGGACAGUAACCAACAUCAAUAGCUCUUGCAUAUUGGGAAUAGCUGUAUCUUCUAAUAGUUGGUAGACUUGUAGAAGAAGAGCUCCCACAUGCCACAUCACCUUCCACACUAGCUGCCACAUACUCCUUGGUUGCCAGAUCAUUUGCUACUUGGCAUGCCACCUAAGCCAUGCUCCAAUGGGUCUCCCAAGCAUUCGGCCAUGCUUGUUCCUUCUUGUUCUCGUAUGUGCAAUGUCAUUAGGCAAGUGGCGCAUCCUUUAGGGCUUGGUGAGUCCUUGGCCGAAUGGUGUUCCUCCACUAGUGGUUGCAAUGCCUCGGCCCGUGAUCUUGUGAUAGCCUCCUUGAACAUAGGUGCAUCAAGUAAGUCCUCCAUGAUGACAUCAUUGAUAUUAUUCUUCAAAAUUCGUGGGUCCAAAAUAUGCUAUUAUUUAUUCACUUUUGGAAGCCCAUACUGAGGAAAUUUUAGUGUUUUUUCAUGCCUUUUAUGUUCCUAUAUGGGUUGGGAGUCAAUUUGGCAUAUUUGACCACCAAAUAUUCUCCAAGAUCUUCAAAGAUUUUGGCCAGCAAUAAUAUAGACGAAUUUUGACUUGUCAACUCAGAAUACAAUCUUGGGAGAUUAUUGCUAUCUUGCCAGAUUUGUAUAUCUUUAUUUCCUAAUUAGUUUCCUUGUAAUUUUCCUCUUUAUUUUCUUAUCUUUGCCUAUAAAUAGGCUCACAUAUGUAAUGCUUAAACAC